rnacentral:rRNA from 1 species
CUUUGCAAGAAUAAUAAUAAUAUUUUACCCCCGAAACCUGGUGAGCUGACUAUAAUUUGUUAAGAACCCAAUGCCUAUUAUAGCAAUAAUCCCACAAAAAUUAUAAUCAGAGGCUACAUACCACUCGCACCAAAUGAUACCUGGUUUUUCAAUUUAACCCAGCUUAAGCUGAUACAACUAUAUUUUUAUAAAAUAGUUAUACAAUUAAGUAAAGGAUAAGCUUUACUUACUACCUUAUUCAUAUUAAAAUUCUCUUUCUCGUAGGCCCAAAAUCAGCCACCACAAACCUCGUUAUAGACCCAGCCUAAACUUCUAUUUCAACUUCAAUAAAAAUAACUGAAAUAUCUCCUUUAAUCCCAAAGAAUAACACCUAUGCAAAGAUUAGUAUUCAACAUCACUCCUCCAAUCUAACCCUUCCCACAUAUUUAGAAAAGGAACUCGGCAAACCCAUAUUCCGCCUGUUUAACAAAAACAUCGCCUAUAGACCCCAUAUUCAUUAUAGGUACAUCCUGCCCAGUGAACUACUUAAACGGCCGCGGUAUCCUGACCGUGCAAAGGUAGCAUAAUCAUUUGCCCCCUAAUUAGGGGCUAGCAUGAAUGGACAAACGAGAUCAUACCUGUCUCCUCUUCAUCCCUAAAAUUUUAUCUAUAGGUGAAGAAGCCUAUAUCUUUAUAAAAGACAAGAAGACCCUGUCGAGCUUUAAUUAUCCAUAAAAUAAUGUAACACACUAAACCUUAUACUCCCUCUUAUAUAUAAUUUUUGUUGGGGCGACAAUGGAGCACACAAAACCUCCACCAUACCCAAAACAUCAAGUUUCCCAAAAGAUCCUUCAAAGAUAUUAGGCACUAGCUACCGCAGGGAUAACAGACUAAUCUUCCUCAAGAGCCCAAAUCUACAGGAAGGCUUGGCACCUCGAUGUUGGCUUAGGGUUACACUUGAAUGCAGCCAUUCAAGCUGUGGGUUUGUUCAACCCUUAAUUCCCUACAUGAG